UCACAUUUGUUUUCUUCUUCUUUUUAAUUCAUUUUAUUUUCUGCUUUGUUUUAAUUAAUAAAAAUAUUUCAUUUAUUCAUAAAAAUCCAAAAAAAUAUUUUCCAUAUUUCUUAUUCUCUUAUUUAAUUUAUUUUAAUUUUAAUUUUCGUUUUUAUUUAAUACUAAUAUUUUAUUUUAAUUGUUUAUUCUGCAUAGUCCAUUUUAACACACUUAUUUUUAUUAAUUUUAUUUUCAUGACUUAAAAUUAUUUUUAGGUUCUGAUUUUU
rnacentral:lncRNA from 1 species